rnacentral:rRNA from 1 species
CCUACGGGUGGCAGCAGUGGGGAAUAUUGGACAAUGGGCGAAAGCCUGAUCCAGCCAUGCCGCGUGUAUGAAGAAGGCCUUCGGGUUGUAAAGCACUUUCAGUGGGGAAGAAAGCCUUGGGGCUAAUACCCUCGAGGAAGGACAUCACCCACAGAAGAAGCACCGGCUAAACUCCGUGCCAGCAGCCGCGGUAAUACGGAGGGUGCGAGCGUUAAUCGGAAUUACUGGGCGUAAAGCGCGCGUAGGCGGUCUGAUAAGCCGGUUGUGAAAGCCCCGGGCUCAACCUGGGAACGGCAUCCGGAACUGUCAGGCUAGAGUGCAGGAGAGGAAGGUAGAAUUCCCGGUGUAGCGGUGAAAUGCGUAGAGAUCGGGAGGAAUACCAGUGGCGAAGGCGGCCUUCUGGACUGACACUGACGCUGAGGUGCGAAAGCGUGGGUAGCAAACAGGAUUAGAUACCCCUGUAGUC